UGGGGAAUUUUGCACAAUGGGGGGAACCUUGAUGCAGCGACGCCGCGUGAGGGAUGGAGGCCUUCGGGUUGUGAACCUCUUUCGCUCGUGUGCAAGCUGCUAUUUGGGUAGUGGUGAGUGUAGCGGGUAAAGAAGCGCCGGCUAACUACGUGCCAGCAGCCGCGGUAAUACGUAGGGCGCGAGCGUUGUCCGGAUUUAUUGGGCGUAAGGGGCUUGUAGGCGGUUUGUCGCGCCUGUCGUGUAAUCCUCUGGUUUAACUGGGGAUGGGCGGUGGGUACGGGCAAGCUUGAAUGCGGUAGGGGAGAUUGGAAUUCCUGGUGAAGCGGGGGAAUGCGCAGGUAUCAGGAGGACCACCGGUGGCGAAGGCGGGUCUCUGGGCCGUUACUGACGCUGAGGAGCGAAAGCGUGGGGAGCGAACAGG
rnacentral:rRNA from 1 species